GAUGAAGAACGUAGCGAAAUGCGAUAAGUAAUGUGAAUUGCAGAAUUCAAUGAAUCAUCGAAUCUUUGAACGCACAUUGCGCCCGCCAGUAUUCUGGCGGGCAUGCCUGUUCGAGCGUCAUUUCAACCAUCAAGCCCUGCUUGCGUUGGGGUCCUGCGGCUGCCCGCAGGCCCUGAAAACCAGUGGCGGGCUCGCUAGUCACACCGAGCGCAGUAAUACAUCUCGCUUUGGGCGUGCGGCGGGUUCUUGCCGUUAAACACCCCCUUUUUACCAAGGUUGACCUCGGAUCAGGUAGGAAUACCCGCUGAACUUAAGCAUAUCAAUAAGCGGAGGA
rnacentral:misc_RNA from 1 species